rnacentral:rRNA from 1 species
UACGAAGGGUGCAAACGUUAUUCGGAAUCACUGGGCGUAAAGGGUGCGUAGACGGUAUGUUAAGUUCGUCGUUAAAGGCUUCGGCCUAACCGGAGUACCGCGAUGAAAACUGGCGUGCUAGAGGGUGAGAGAGAGAAGUGGAAUUCCUGGAGUAGCGGUAAAAUGCGUGGAUCUCAGGAGGAACACCAAUGGCGAAGGCAGCUUCUUGGCUCAUUCCUGACGUUGAGGCACGAAAGCGUGGGGAGCAAACAGG